UUGUCUUUUUAAACUGUGGCGGAUUCCCGCUCUUUUCACUCUGGCCUGGUUUGAGGGGAAUCACGAUGCUGCUGGACUCAGCGCCAUCCUUAACGUUAUAUGGCUUGGGUGUGGAGGAGUCUGGAGGAUUUUUUUCUCAGACGUUUUAUCAUCCUCAAGACGAAAAAGUAAGUGUUUCAGACUCACCUGGUCGGGAUUUUGACGCGUAGGAAGCGGUCGAUGGCGAUGGCCAACAGGGACAGUAUGGAGCUUUGGGUGAUGAUGACGAGAAGGCAGGAAAUGAAGAGGCAGGUGUAAAAUUGUGU